AAGCCAGACUCCUACGGGAGGCAGCAGUGGGGAAUAUUGCACAAUGGGGGGAACCCUGAUGCAGCGACGCCGCGUGGGCGAGGAAGUAUUUCGGUAUGUAAAGCCCUAUCGGCAGGGAAGAAGAAAUGACGGUACCUGAAUAAGAAGCACCGGCUAAAUACGUGCCAGCAGCCGCGGUAAUACGUAUGGUGCAAGCGUUAUCCGGAUUUACUGGGUGUAAAGGGGGCGCAGACGGCAGCGCAAGCCAGGAGUGAAAGCCCGGGGCCCAACCCCGGGACUGCUCUUGGAACUGCGCGGCUGGAGUGCAGGAGGGGCAGGCGGAAUUCCUGGUGUAGCGGUGAAAUGCGUAGAUAUCAGGAGGAACACCGGUGGCGAAGGCGGCCUGCUGGGCUGCGACUGACGUUGAGGCCCGAAAGCGUGGGGAGCAAACAGGAUUAGAUACCCCGGUAAC
rnacentral:rRNA from 1 species